GGGUGUGACAAUACAAGCAGUAAAGCAUCGGAUCCCCGUAGAGCUCUGUAGUUAAGCGUGCUUGCGGGAUAGUAGUACUAUGAUGGGUGACCUUUUGGGAAGUCUUCGUUUUGCACCUC
rfam:Gossypium hirsutum cultivar TM-1 unplaced genomic scaffold scaffold4672.1, whole genome shotgun sequence